CCUGAGCUGCUCUCUCGACCCGGCAGCCUACCUGACCCUAUUGUGCGCCCCUUCCCUUCAUCAUAUACUUCCCUGUGCACGGACAUGGGAAAGACUGAGGCCACGGCCGCGGUCACAGAAAGCCGUGCCGUCCCUCCUGCUGUGAGCCCAUCCUCACGGGGAGCUGACGCAUGGGCACAGCACAGCCUCAUUCUUGCUUCACCCUCCUCCCCUUCCCUCCCCUCCCUCCGUCUCUCAGGCUCUUCCCAUUUGCAAAAGCUCCAUUUCCCUGUUUCCUGUCAUCUCUCGUUUAUUUUGCUGUUUAAUUGAUUUCUACAGGAGUUUCUCUCAGAAGAGAAGCCAGGCAUUCUUGAAGCUGUGUGUCUGCAUUAUUUCACCUCACACCAGCCCCUCCUGCAUGGGAAGGCGACUCAUGGACUCCUCUAGGGGCAAAAGGGUCUCGGACUGUCAGGGCCUCUCCACACAUCUUCACUGAUCCCCGCAGGAACCCACGGAUCCACCAGACAGUGAAGACAAGGAGCAGGAGGAGGGUGGAAGUCAACAUGUGAAUUAAACCUCUCCCUCUUAAAAGCAUGGGCACAAGUGAAAAUGCACAUUGAGGACCUGGGAACUGAAGUCCCUCCGAGGACCCUAGCUGCCGUGGCAGUGCUGGGCAGGAGGGAAAGGACGACGCAGAGAGGGAUCGGGAGGACGCGGGGGAGCCAACUCUGGCUGGGCCCUUCUGGGGCCCAGCUAUGCACAGCCUCCUUCACCGCAGCUUUCGUGUUUAAACCAGCACACAAAUGCCUACGUGCUGCUCCAACAAAGCGGACCGGCUGGUACCCGGAAUGUUACUGCACGCAGAUGCUAUGUGUGAGGACAGCUCGGGGAAACCAAAGAGAAGAGGCUGGUGUGGGUCCACAUGGAGCGUGAGAGGAAAAGCCACCCACAGAAAGCCUUCCGGCACCCCCAGGACAGGAGGGAGGCAGAGACCAGAAAUCAGAGCAAGAGACCAUGAGACCAUAAACUUCCAGGACCGUGGGCAUCUAGGACAGAGUUCAUGUCCUCUUUUCUGACGUUUCAAAGAACAGGUGAGCCCCGUUAACAUCCCAGGUACACAUUUAUCUGCACUUAAACCAUUUGCUUAACAGCUAACAUAAGGCAAGUGCUGUACCAGAUGCGGAAGAUACAGGGAAAGACGUGGAGACAGAUGAAGCACUCCUACUUCUCUGAAGACGCUGAAGGAAAUAUAAAGUCCACACACAUGCUGUCUGUGAAGGUUACUCCUGAUUGCCAACUUGAUCUGGCUGAGCAAUGCCUGGGAAACUGGCAGAGCACACUUCUGGGUGAGUCUGUGGGCGUUUCCAGAGACGCUUCGAUUAUGAGGGCUCUGGCUGCCCUCGUGGGUCCGUCCACUGACUCGAUCAGAGGCGACAGAGACUUCGGAGGUAAGGCCCGGUUUAAAGGAGUGAGUCAUGGGGCUCGGCCUUGGGAAUCUGUCUGGCCCUGCCCCUUUCUCCUCAGGUUUUCCCCUUCUCACUCUGCUUUCCGGCUACCAUGAGGUGAGUAGCUUUGUCCACCGGGACAUUUCUGCCUUCCGUCAGGCCCACAGCAAUGAACCAGACAACCACGGAUUAAAGCUUCUAAAACAUGAGCCAAAGCAAGCUUUUCCUCCUCUGACCUGUGGAUCUCAGGCAUUUGUUCUUCCUCGGUCUAUCCUCUCAUAGUAUCCCAGAGUCACACCAGAUCUGUGUCAAGAAGUGACUGACAGCACGAACUUAAGUCCUCUCUGCCUCGCUAAUCUUCCACCAAAGCCAACCCAGGUUUUGAAGAAGUAUUUGAUACAACAAAUCAUUUUAUCCAUUUUCUCACAGAAUAAAAAGCAUCUUUGAAAA